CCUACGGGAGGCAGCAGUGGGGAAUAUUGGACAAUGGGGGCAACCCUGAUCCAGCCAUGCCGCGUGUGUGAAGAAGGCCCUCGGGUUGUAAAGCACUUUCAGUGAGGAAGAACGCCUGGUGGUUAAUACCCAUCAGGAAAGACAUCACUCACAGAAGAAGCACGGGCUAACUCCGUGCCAGCAGCCGCGGUAAUACGGAGGGUGCGAGCGUUAAUCGGAAUUACUGGGCGUAAAGCGCGCGUAGGUGGCUUGAUAAGCCGGUUGUGAAAGCCCCGGGCUCAACCUGGGAACGGCAUCCGGAACUGUCAAGCUAGAGUGCAGGAGAGGAAAGUAGAAUUCCCGGUGUAGCGGUGAAAUGCGUAGAGAUCGGGAGGAAUACCAGUGGCGAAGGCGGCCUUCUGGACUGACACUGACACUGAGGUGCGAAAGCGUGGGUAGCAAACAGGAUUAGAUACCCCAGUAGUC
rnacentral:rRNA from 1 species